CCAGGAAAGAGGAGAAGGAUUUCUCUAACAUAUAGAGUGUACUGGAUCCUUUUGAUUUCUCAACUCUUCAUUUUCCUUUCCCAGUGGAUGGAUGCAAAAAAUUUUAUCUGAAUAAUCCUAAGGGCCCACUGUUCGCUCCUGUUCCCACCAUCCUCUGAACCAUUGGAGACUGUGCAUUGCUCAGGAAGACAUUCUGGAUUUGGAGAGCUGGUGCUUCUGGUGACAUUGAGAAAUCUCUCAGCUGCCUGGCUAUGCUGAACGCUACUCCUGACUGGUCUGCACUUGGACAUCUAGCCAGAAACCAUGAGUGUCACCAUCCAGCCAAUUUUUUAUCCACCAAGGGGUUCACACACCAAAACCAUUGUCUCUCCAGCUUAGAGGCAAGGAUGUCAUGUGAGACAAUGUCAGAUGCUCGGCACAAGUCCAGGUAAAUGUCAUUUGUUGCUCUUCCCUUAUCUACCAAUACUGUUACCCUGUCAUAAAAGGUCACCAGUUUUGUCAGGUACAAUUUCCUCUUAAUGGGGCCAUGUGGGCUGUCACCACCAAGUUCUUUAUUCUCUAUGUGACUUAGCCCAUGUUCCAGGAGGAAUUCUUUGUAAAAAUAGGUGUUAUAUUUCUUUUUUUCCUGUCAGUAGGAACUUUACAAGGCUAACAUGAUUUCCCAAAUAUGAUGUAUAGUGGCUUAGCCACUUCAUCUGUCAGUUGCCUCAGGACCUGAGGAUGCGUCUCAUCAGGUCACAUGGACCCAUGAAAUGUUGGAGUUCAAGAUCCUGGAGGCAGCAAGGGGCUAAAAAUCUCCUGAAAGUUCUAUGAAGGUCACAGACUACUAAAGCAUUUGUUUGAAUUUUAUAAAGCAUUCAUAGUAUAUAAGACAAAAAAUAAAUAUGCUUUCCUGAAACAGGUACUUUAUCUUCUUUCCUUCUGAUUUCCUAUUGUCAUGGGCACAUACAUUUUCAGAAAUAAAAUUAAAACAAAAAAUAAACAAAACCAGAAAGUGUUGGAUGAAUGAAUUGUGCAGACAAAGCAAGUGUCACUCCAAAUGUGGGGAACUGGAACGUUUGGAUUUAGCAGUCUCCUUUUUCAUAGCCAUCUCUGCAUUUCUCUACAGAAGGUAAGAGGGCUAUUGAUCACAUUUGACCUAGACCAUUUCCAGCGUGGAUAUUUACAUAUGAAUGAGACAUCAUAGAAAACUCUUAUGGAUACUAAAAACAGAAAGGUUUGCAGGGACUCAUCACUUGACCAGUUUUAGAUGUCUGACAUUUUGGAUGAAAUGUUCAUGUAUAGUGGAAAGAAUCUGUCUGAGCAACAUUUUUAAAUGAAGAAGUAAAAAAAGACAGGAAAUGGAAGAGAACUAAACAUGGAAACUCUUGCCAUAUGCUCAUAACACCUGAGUGCAAGCUCUAGGACAGAUUCAAUGACAAUAGUGAAAAUUCAAAGGGAACUGAAAUGCUUUCCAGCAACAAAUGCAACAGACUUCCAACAACAUUCAGGUGAUUUCUGACAAGAAAAUUAGAUUACAUGUAACUCAAGGAAGGCAUGUAUGAAUAUGUAAAGGUGCCUAAAUUUAGGUACUGAAAACUUCGAAGACAAAUAAUAAGAAAGCUGGGUACCUCUCAGGGUACUCAACAAAAUACAGUGUUUUAUUUAGGUACAACUUAAACUGCAAUCUAUCCUAACAUGUCUACCUUUGAAAGAUAGUGAAUAGCAUUAGAAUUGCAAACCUAUAUUUUUUUAGCAAUAUAAGA